UGCGCGCACCCGCCCCGGGGCGCCGGCCCCGCCCCGGACACGAACGGAGCCGAGAGCUCGGCGGAAGUGCCCGAAGGGCCCAUGGAGCCCGGCGCCCCUCUGCCGGGAAGGAGGGCCGGCCGCCGGCACGGGGGCGCCAGGUUGCCGCGGGAAGGGGGGGCCGCCCCUCCGCGCACGCCGCCGCCACCCGCGUGACGGAGGGGCCGCUCGGACGAGGCUGCGUGAAGUAGACCAUGCGGGCACACCCCUCGUGGAGCCGGAGCUCGCGCCCGCACGUGAGGAGCGGGCUGGGUGGCUCCGAAGGCGCCCGAGUCUCCACGGUGCGGGAUCGGUUGCCCGUUCCGAGUUGUCGUUGAAAAGAAAAAUGUAGCCACACUGCAUUCAUGACUCACCCACCCACCGCCCCGCUCCCGGGUUCUGGUUCUGGCCCGCGGGGAGGAACGUGGAGGUGCACGCGUUCUCGGGGUCACGUAGCGAAAGCCGCGUCUGGGCCCGGGGCGCUGGGGUUGCUGUGAUCUGCGGGCCGGCGAAUUCCUCGGGGCUAAGAUAAGGAGCAGCGGGAGCCGGCCGAACUGAAGUCAGCGGACUAUAAAUAUGACUCUCAGUCCACCUUUGGCUCAGCCCAGUGACCUCGUAUACCCUCCCGAGGCCCAUUCCCUCCUUUUAGAACACGCAGAUAGCUGUCACUACCUCUUUUCUUCCUUUACCUCUCACUCUUCGUGCAAAAUGCCGUUAAAAGUUUUCAGUGACCUGUUUAUGAAGAAAGGGAAGAUUUCUUUUCUUUUAAAUCAGACGUUAAAUGCCUAACUUCUUCGCGCUGAAGUGAAACCCGGGGCCCGACACACGGUCCAAUGAAUGGAUGAUCAGAUCUGCUUUUAAAGGUCCCAAAUGGGAGACGGUUGGAGGGAGCAAACCGGACACAGAUCAGUUUGAUCAGCAGACAAGAGCUGUCAGGAGUCAGGAUCCUGAGGAUGGAAAGAAGACAGAAAGGUCAGAAAGUAUAUUUGGCAACCUGGAAUAAUUACUGUUUGUCAGUAAGAACCACUGUGGAGCAGAUAGGAGCUAAGAUAACUCCAUAAUUCUAGUUUCAAUGACAAGGUCGAACCUACAGUCCACAGGAAGACCGGAGACUCAGGGGAAGCAGUUUGGGUGGUAGGAGAGGGGCUCAGCCAGUGGCAGGUGCAGAGCCCCAUUUGGAAGGGAUGUAGCACAUCAGGGCUAUGGGAUUUGUCUGAAGAAAUGUAGGCACACUUCUUUGCUACAUUGUGUGUUUGGACACAUGGCAUGGGUAAGCUGAGGGGCAGAUUCAGAGGGCUUCAAGUACCCCAGCUAUCCUUAUUGGGUGAGCAUUAGAGAUCUGUGCUUGUGACUGGGCACGUCUGUGUUUCUUGCAGUGGUAGGGAUCAAACCUAGGGCCUUUUAUAUAUCUGUUUCACUCACUGAACAACAUUCCCAGCCAAGCCAAUCCCAAUUUAAAGAGGCUCAAGGAGGGCCGUCGGGAUGGCUCAACAGGUAAACUGUUUGUCAUCAAGUCUGACAACCAAGUCACAGCCCUGGAACCUGCGCACUGGAAGGAGAGAACCACACCUGUGAGUUACCCUCUGGCUCCGCCUGGACCGCCCUCUCAGAAUGAAUAAUUAAAUACAUUUUAUAAAAAUGGUUUGUGUAGCUCUGGCUGGCUGGAACUUACGACGUAGACCAAGCUGGCCUUGAGCUCACCUCUGUGAGCCUGCCUCUGGCUCUGUAGUCCUAGGAUUAAAGGCAUGCAUCACCUCACCUGGUUAAAGAAGGGUAAUAAAAAUUUUUUUUAGGGAGCUCAUGGAUAAAGGGAAAUGUAUUAAACCACAGAAAAGAUAGGCAUAGACCUUUGGGAAUGAGUAGAUCCAGGAAGCUGGAGGAGCCUACCUGUUUGGAGACUAUCUUUUCCAGUUUUUAUUUCUCAAUGCAAGUUGACUUUGUUUUCUCCUACUGAAGACGUUCUUGGAUUUCUAGCAUAACCACUAAUGAGAAAAGAGGCUAUUUCUGUUUGAGUUCCAAUUUUUUUGUUUGUUUGUUUGUUUGUUUUUGUUUUUGUGGGUUUUUUCGAGACAGGGUUUUUCUGUGUAGCUUUGGAGCCUUUCCUGGAACUUACUCUGUAGACCAGGCUGGCCUCAAACUCAGAUUUGGCUGCCUCUGCCUCCCAAAUGCUGGGAUUAAAGGCAUGCACCACCGCCGCCCAGCUUGAGUUCCAGUUUUAAUGCACUCUUGGGGAAAAGAUUCUGACUUUCCUGCCUCUGUUCACAACCCCAUUUCUUGAACCAGUCAAUGUACUGGAAAAAAAGGCUAGGAAAGCACACCCUGUCAUCCCUCCGCCCUGUGGAACAAGUGCAUAUGGUUAGACAGCCGUGGGACAUCCAGACAAGCCUGAGGCUCCCAGAGAGGCACAAAGCAAAAGGUGUAGACAUUGAAUGGCUCAGAAAAGUAGUUGAUUACCUCAACAAAAAUUAAUGGCAGGCUGUAUCCUGUAACCCAAAUCAGAUGAACUCAUAACCCUUAUUCUCAGACAACCUUUGAGUUGCAUUUUACAGAGGUGUUAAAAGUGUAGGAUCAUACAAUGGAGUUCUCAGUUAGAAAACCAAUAGUUCUUAAAAGAAAAUAAAUCUCAGAACAGUGCACGUAGUGUGACUGUAAUGAAGUAAAACCCAAGGUGUUCGUGUGUGGGGGUGUGUAGACAAGCACAGAUCUGUGCUUCCCAGACAUCAUACCCACACAACACUGCUGUCUCCCCAGGCUUUGGCCGACUGCAUUCCAACUGUAAGAGUUUAUUCACAUUCGUCUAGUGCUAUGGAAUAAUCCUUUUGUUCGCUGUGAAGACAUGUUGCUCUCAUUGUUAAUAAAAAAGCUGGUUGGCCGAUGGCUCGGCAGGAUUUUCAGGGCAGAGAGAAUGCUGGGGGAAGGGUGGAGUCAGAGGAGACGCCAUGAGACACAGAGCGAUGGGAAGUAUGUACAUGCGGUAAAUAAACACAGAUGAACAGAAAUGGGUUAACUUAAGUUAUAAGGGCUAGCUAAAAAACAAGCCUAAGCUAUUAGACCAAGCAUUUAUAAUUAAUAUUAAGUCUCUGUAUGGUUAUUUGGGAGUGGCUGCCGGGACACAGAACAGUUCGCGCACAAUCUAGAACUGCUUGAACUCUGAACACUUUUUCCAAGUGAAAUGUUUUAGAAGAAAAAUAAAACUCUUGCUUUUCUCAGAAUUCA